GAUCCAGUGGUGUAAUGGUGAACAUGCCCAGUUAUUGUACUUCGUUGCAACCAGUUUGUGGGAGAUCCCUGUUCAACUCAGGGCUGGGCCA